UGGCUCUUCGCCAGCCCUCGCAUGGGCGUCGGUGGUGGCCGGCAGCUUGCUGCUUCGCUACGAGUGGCGGACGGGUGAGUAAUGUCUGGGAAACUGCCUGAUGGAGGGGGAUAACUACUGGGAAACGGUAGCUAAUACCGCAUAACGUCGCAAGACCAAAGAGGGGGACCUUCGGGCCUCUUGCCAUCGGAUGUGCCCAGAUGGGAUUAGCUAGUAGGUGGGGUAACGGCUCACCUAGGCGACGAUCCCUAGCUGGUCUGAGAGGAUGACCAGCCACACUGGAACUGAGACACGGUCCAGACUCCUACGGGAGGCAGCAGUGGGGAAUAUUGCACAAUGGGCGCAAGCCUGAUGCAGCCAUGCCGCGUGUAUGAAGAAGGCCUUCGGGUUGUAAAGUACUUUCAGCGGGGAGGAAGGCGAUAAGGUUAAUAACCUUGUCGAUUGACGUUACCCGCAGAAGAAGCACCGGCUAACUCCGUGCCAGCAGCCGCGGUAAUACGGAGGGUGCAAGCGUUAAUCGGAAUUACUGGGCGUAAAGCGCACGCAGGCGGUCUGUCAAGUCGGAUGUGAAAUCCCCGGGCUCAACCUGGGAACUGCAUUCGAAACUGGCAGCUAGAGGUCUUUGUAAAGGGGGGUAGAAUUCAAGGUGUAGCGGUGAAAUGCGUAAAGAUCUGGAGGAAUACCGGUGGCGAAGGCGCCCCUGGACAAGGACUGACGCUCAGGUGCGAAGGCGUGGGGGAGCAAACAGGAUAAAAUACCUGGUAGUCCACGCCGUAACGAUGCCCACUGGAGGUUGUGCCAUGAGGCGUGCUCGGACUAACGCGUUAGUCCACGGCUUGGGAGUACGGCCCAGUUAAACUCAAUGAAUUG
rnacentral:rRNA from 1 species